UACGAAGGGGGCUAGCGUUGCUCGGAAUCACUGGGCGUAAAGCGCACGUAGGCGGAUUUCUAAGUCAGGGGUGAAAUCCUGGAGCUCAACUCCAGAACUGCCUUUGAUACUGGGAAUCUCGAGUCCGGGAGAGGUGAGUGGAACUGCGAGUGUAGAGGUGAAAUUCGUAGAUAUCGCAAGAACACCGGUGGCGAAGGCGGGUCUACUGGGCCGAUACUGACGCUGAGGAGCGAAGCGUGGGG
rnacentral:rRNA from 1 species